rnacentral:snRNA from 1 species
AUUAGCAUGGUCCCUGCUCAAGGAUGACAAACAAAUUUGUGAAGUGUUCCAUUAAAAA